GGGGGACCUCCAGCCUGAGCCAGGCUCCUCCGCAGUGCCCAGUGCCGCUUGUCGAAGAUGGAUAGAAAUCAUUUGUCCUUACACUUUAUGAAUCAAUUUUAUUUUUAAAAUAAAAUGUUAAACAUCUUU